rnacentral:tRNA from 1 species
UGGAUAUUAGUUAAUUAAAUAACAUUUAAAUUGCAUUUAAAAAUUAAUAAGAAAUAUUAUAUCUAA